AGGACGAACGCUGGCGGCAGGCCUAACACAUGCAAGUCGAGCGCCCCGCAAGGGGAGCGGCAGACGGGAGAGUAACACGUGGGAACGUACCCUUCAGUUCGGAACAACCCAGGGAAACUUGGGCUAAUACCGGAUACGUCCGUAAGGAGAAAGAUUUAUCGCUGAAGGAUCGGCCCGCGUCUGAUUAGCUAGUUGGUGGGGUAACGGCUCACCAAGGCGACGAUCAGUAGCUGGUCUGAGAGGAUGAUCAGCCACAUUGGGACUGAGACACGGCCCAAACUCCUACGGGAGGCAGCAGUGGGGAAUAUUGGACAAUGGGCGCAAGCCUGAUCCAGCCAUGCCGCGUGAGUGAUGAAGGCCUUAGGGUUGUAAAGCUCUUUUACCUGGGAAGAUAAUGACGGUACCAGGAGAAUAAGCCCCGGCUAACUUCGUGCCAGCAGCCGC
rnacentral:rRNA from 1 species